rnacentral:tRNA from 1 species
UAGAUUGAUGCUCGCUGGUUUGGGCGCUUAGCUGUUAACUAAGAUUUUGUGGGAUCGAGGCCCUCCUAUCUAU